GACGUAGGGCGCAAGCGUUGUCCGGAUUUAUUGGGCGUAAAGAGCUCGUAGGCGGCCUGUCGCGUCGACCGUGAAAACCCGCAGCUCAACUGCGGGCUUGCGGUCGAUACGGGCAGGCUGGAGUUCGGUAGGGGAGACUGGAAUUCCUGGUGUAGCGGUGAGAUGCGCAGAUAUCAGGAGGAACACCGGUGGCGAAGGCGGGUCUCUGGGCCGAUACUGACGCUGAGGAGCGAAAGCGUGGGGAGCGAACAGG
rnacentral:rRNA from 1 species